rnacentral:misc_RNA from 1 species
AACGCAUCUUGCGCCCUUUGGUAUUCCGAGGGGCAUGUCUGUCUGAGUGUCACGAAACUCUCAAUCUCUCAUUCUUUGUGAUGAGCUGGUUGGAUCAUGGGUGCUUGCCGGCUAACACCGGCUCACCUGAAAUGUAUUUGCGAUGUCGUGACCCAACUGGUGGUUUGACUAGGCGUGAUGGUGAUAACGUUCGUCUAGGAUCCCACUUCGGUGAGGAGCCACUUGGUUCGGGCUUUGUGCACGCAGUCCCUAACUAAUCUUUGGUUUAGACCUCAGAUCAGGCAGGAUUACCCGCUGAACUUAA